rnacentral:misc_RNA from 1 species
CUAUCACUGAUCCGAUUGCAUCCACGUGCAGUCAGUCGACAUGGGCCUUCAGCACUGAUCGCCUCGAAUUGCUCGCGAUCGUCGUGGUAGACAGGGAUGUGGCAGCGAUGCCGUCCAGUGUUGUCGACGAUCAAUCCGUGC